UAACAUUAGCUCUUUUGCAAAAGUUUUUGGUAAGAAGGAUUUAAAUAGUGGCUUUAAAAGUAAAAAAUUUUCGGAAUACGACAAAAAUAAUAGUUUUCAAAACAAGUUGGCUAAGGAUAAUAGUAAGUGCGGUUACAAACAAUCUUCUGUCAAUGUAAAGAGUAAAACUACAAAGUCAUAUCCUACAAGAUCUAAGAAAGCCACAGAACUUUGUCAAAGUCAAGCUUCAAAUUAUAAUCCUCAAAAAGGGCCCGUGCAUAAGAUUAAUUCUGAAGCUAGUGACACUGUUCAUCCGGCCUCAUCAGAAAGUAAACUGUUGCCAAACCUCUCUGAAGUUAGUUGUGAUGGCUUUGGGCUUCGAUUAUUCGGCAUAAGAGAUGCCAAACAGGAUCCGAACUUAAGAAAUUCUAAUUCGGGUGAUCUUAAUAUACUUGAAGAAAUAACCGAAAAUUUAAAUUUCACUGAUGAUCAACGUACUGUUAAAGUAAGGAAAGCUACUGCAAAUGUUU